AUUGAUGGUAAAUCAAGUGAACUUUAUAUUAUUCGAGAUUUUCAAGCUCAUUUCUAAUGCAUUCACAUAUUUGGCGAACAAUUGUGACGUUAUGAGGUGCAGAAAAUAGUCGGCGUCAGUGUUGGACCGCUAAUAAUACGCAGUGUUGUGGUGUGUGUGUGAUGUGCAUUGCACGAACACAGUGACCGUUUUGGACGUUGUCAAUAUAAAAAAGAGCAUACGAUGGUGGGAAGUCGGCCAUUUCUAACUGGUGUGUGAAGCGGAGCAGACGUUUCGUGCGUGAGGUUCUGCGAGCAUUGCCGCGCGGGCGCCGGGUGUGUCUCCCGGUAGCACCCCCGGUUGUUACUGGAAGGGCGUUGCUGCUGCAGUGGCGGCAGCUGUGCGUAGCUUGGCUGGCGUGUAGCAAACCGGCAUCGCAGUUCAGUUGGCCCUCGGAUGCGGUCAACGGAGCACGGUUGUUGCAACAAAAUGGCUGCCGUCUGGUGAAAAACGUGCGCGGCAAAGCGUUGGCGUUAUUUCCGUUGAUGGCGUCAUGUCGGCCUGCUGCAAGGUUAGAAAAUCAGUGCGUGUGUCGGGACCGGUUUCACCAGCACGGAACCAGCGGCCGUUAGACUUAAAAACUAGAAAAUGUGUUCUCAUUGACGUUCAGCAUGGACCACCGUAAGGAAACGAUCCAUCGCGUCGCAUACUUCCCCAUCAACGUGCGUUGCAACCGCGUGGCUCGUCUCUGUUCGUGCUGAAGCGGCUCAUGUUCCCGGUAUUUGAAGCUGGCGGCGGAGACGCGCUGGUACGCGGUGUGAAAACCAUGGUUAACGAAUACACCAACACCACGGCACUUCUUAUUCAUACAUGCGCAUAAGUCAAUGUGUGUGUGUGUGUGUGUGGGUAUAAAUCAUCGCGAUUUACGCCUAGGAGUGGAUCGCAAUCGGGAGAGCGAAAGAGAUGCAGUAAAAGACCGACUAUUCGGCUUUUUCAGCACUAAGUCUCAGCAGCUCUUCUUUCUUCAGGCCGAUCGCAUGGAAAGGCGUUCAGGCUGAAAAGAUCUGUUAAACAACCACCUAAAUUUCGGAUGUAACAUCUAGUAUAAAACCUUACACCAUUGUGAAUAAGGUACACUGAUACAGCAUCAGCCCCUUAGCGGAUAGUGACCAGCAAUUGCAUUGACGCCAUUGUGGAUUAGGUAUGUCACUAUAGCAUCAGUGCCAUUGUGGAUGCGAUGCGGCUAUACAGCGUCAGCUCCAUCAUGUAAGCUGUGCGGCGAAAGUGGCACCUCUUUAUUCUAAUUCCCUCAAACAACCACUAAAAUUUCGGAUAUUAUUCAAAGCCUAAAUCAUUGAGGUCGUCCGUUGUAGUAGGAAGUUUUGCGAUACAUUAAACAACCACUCAAAUUUCGGAUGUUAACAUGUGAUAUGCAUUGGCAAUCGCACUCUGAUACUUAAACAUCGGGUAACCGAGAAAAACCCGCUUAAUCGUAAAAGAUCUUUGUUCGUGUAGUUCGAAAUCGUAAUCCAUAUGCCACUUGGAUGUAUGGAUGUUAACUUAGCGAAAUGUUUUUAAGUGGCGACCUGCCAAGGAACGUAGAAUGUAAUAAACGCGGAAAUUAAAUUUCAUGCGCUGCAUGGGAGAAAGAGAUCAAA